rnacentral:rRNA from 1 species
AUUGAACGCUGGCGGCAGGCCUAACACAUGCAAGUCGAACGAGUGGCGGACGGGUGAGUAAUGUCUGGGAAACUGCCUGCUGGAGGGGGAUAACUACUGGAAACGGUAGCUAAUCCCGCAUAGCAUCAGAUGUGCCCAGAUGGGCUUAGCUAGUUGGUGGGGUAACGGCUCACAAAGGCGACGAUCGCUAGCUGGUCUGAGAGGAUGACUAGCCACAAUGGAAAUGAGACACGGUCGAGAAUGCUAAGGGAGGUAGCAGUGGGGAAAAUUGCACAAUGGGCGCAAGCCUGAUGAAGCCAUGCCUCGUGUAUGAAGAAGGCCUUGGGGUUGUAAAGUACUUGCAGCGGGGAGGCGUUACCCGCAGAAGAAGCACCGGCUAACUCCGUGCCAGCAGCCGCGGUAAUUC